rnacentral:rRNA from 1 species
GCGGAGGAAAAGAAACCAACAGGGAUUGCCUUAGUAGCGGCGAGUGAAGCGGCAAAAGCUCAAAUUUGAAAUCUGGCACUUUCAGUGUCCGAGUUGUAAUUUGAAGAAGGUAUCUUUGGGUCUGGCUCUUGUCUAUGUUUCUUGGAACAGAACGUCACAGAGGGUGAGAAUCCCGUGCGAUGAGAUGUCCCAGACCUAUGUAAAGUUCCUUCGAAGAGUCGAGUUGUUUGGGAAUGCAGCUCUAAGUGGGUGGUAAAUUCCAUCUAAAGCUAAAUAUUGGCGAGAGACCGAUAGCGAACAAGUACAGUGAUGGAAAGAUGAAAAGAACUUUGAAAAGAGAGUGAAAAAGUACGUGAAAUUGUUGAAAGGGAAGGGCUUGAGAUCAGACUUGGUAUUUUGUAUGUUACUCUCUCGGGGGUGGCCUCUACAGUUUACCGGGCCAGCAUCAGUUUGGGCGGUAGGACAAUUGCAAAGAAAUGUGGCACUGCCUCGGUAGUGUGUUAUAGUCUUUGUCGAUACUGCCAGCCUAGACUGAGGACUGCGGCUUCGGCCUAGGAUGUUGGCAUAAUGAUCUUAAGUCGCCCGUCUUGA